rnacentral:tRNA from 11 species
CAGUUGUAGCCGAGUGGUUAAGUCCACAGGCCUUCCAUCCGGAAGGUCGGGAGUUCGAAUCCCGGA